rnacentral:rRNA from 1 species
CUAGCGGCAGGCUUAACACAUGCAAGUCGAGGGGCAGCGGGGAGGAAGCUUGCUUUCUCCGCCGGCGACCGGCGCACGGGUGAGUAACACGUAUGCAACCUGCCCCUGUCAGGGGGACAACCCGCCGAAAGGCGGGCUAAACCCGCGUACAUGCCACCGGGGCAUCCCGGAGGCAGGAAAGGCUUCGGCCGGACAGGGAUGGGCAUGCGGCGCAUUAGGCAGUAGGCGGGGUAACGGCCCACCUAACCGACGAUGCGUAGGGGUUCUGAGAGGAAGGUCCCCCACACUGGUACUGAGACACGGACCAGACUCCUACGGGAGGCAGCAGUGAGGAAUAUUGGUCAAUGGUCGGGAGACUGAACCAGCCAAGCCGCGUGAGGGAGGAAGGUACAGAGUAUCGUAAACCUCUUUUGUCAGGGAACAAAGGCGGGGACGUGUCCCCGGAUGAGUGUACCUGAAGAAAAAGCAUCGGCUAACUCCGUGCCAGCAGCCGCGGUAAUACGGAGGAUGCGAGCGUUAUCCGGAUUUAUUGGGUUUAAAGGGUGCGCAGGCGGUCUGUUAAGUCAGCGGUCAAAGCCCGGGGCUCAACCCCGGCCCGCCGUUGAAACUGGCAGUCUCGAGUUGGAGAGAAGUAUGCGGAAUGCGCGGUGUAGCGGUGAAAUGCAUAGAUAUCGCGCAGAACUCCGAUUGCGAAGGCAGCAUGCCGGCUCCACACUGACGCUGAGGCACGAAAGCGUGGGUAUCGAACAGGAUUAGAUACCCUGGUAGUCCACGCAGUAAACGAUGAAUGCUGGCUGUCCGGGGGGAUUGACCCCUGGGUGGCGAAGCGAAAGCGAUAAGCAUUCCACCUGGGGAGUACGCCGGCAACGGUGAAACUCAAAGGAAUUGACGGGGGCCCGCACAAGCGGAGGAACAUGUGGUUUAAUUCGAUGAUACGCGAGGAACCUUACCCGGGCUCAAACGGGGAGUGACUCAGGCAGAGACGCCUGUUUCCCACGGGACACUCCCCGAGGUGCUGCAUGGUUGUCGUCAGCUCGUGCCGUGAGGUGUCGGCUUAAGUGCCAUAACGAGCGCAACCCCCGCGUGCAGUUGCUAACAGAUAACGCUGAGGACUCUGCACGGACUGCCGGCGCAAGCCGCGAGGAAGGCGGGGAUGACGUCAAAUCAGCACGGCCCUUACGUCCGGGGCGACACACGUGUUACAAUGGGUGGUACAGCGGGAAGCCAGGCGGCGACGCCGAGCGGAACCCGAAAUCCACUCUCAGUUCGGAUCGGAGUCUGCAACCCGGCUCCGUGAAGCUGGAUUCGCUAGUAAUCGCGCAUCAGCCAUGGCGCGGUGAAUACGUUCCCGGGC